rnacentral:rRNA from 1 species
GAUGAACGCUGGCGGCGUGCUUAACACAUGCAAGUCGAACGGAGAUGCCAUUUUCGAGGUAAUUAGUUUACUAAGAGCCAAGAUGUUGGCAUCUUAGUGGCGGACGGGUGAGUAACGCGUGGGUAACCUGCCUUACACUGGGGGAUAACACUUAGAAAUAGGUGCUAAUACCGCAUAACAGAGGGAGUCGCAUGACUUCGUCUUAAAAACUCCGGUGGUGUAAGAUGGACCCGCGUCUGAUUAGCUGGUUGGCGGGGUAGCGGCCCACCAAGGCGACGAUCAGUAGCCGGCCUGAGAGGGUGAACGGCCACAUUGGGACUGAGACACGGCCCAA